UCAGCUCUGAAGUCAAACCCCUCACAUCUGAAAGAGCUGGAUCUGAGUAACAAUGUCCUUAAGGAUUCAGGAGUGAAGCUGCUCUCUGCUAUGUUGGAUGAUCCACAAUGUAGACUGGAGACUCUGAGGCUGUCAUUCUGUGGAGUCACAGAGGAAGGCUGUGAUUUGCUGGCCUCAGCUCUGAUGUCAAACUCCUGUCACCUAAGAGAGCUUGACCUGAGUAACAAUGACCUGGGGAAUUCAGGAGUGAAGCAUCUCUCUUCUGGACUGGGAAAUCCACAUUGUAAACUGGAAACACUGAGGUUGUCAGGCUGUCUGGUCACAGAGGAAGGCUGUGUUUCUCU